rnacentral:ncRNA from 1 species
AGGUGUGACUGACGGAUAAGUGGGCUGACCACAGGGGAGCACUUGUAAAGACCUUUAAGCCGACCGUCUGGGCAACCCU